UAACAGCAGAUAGUGAAGGCCAGGGAAAGCUGGUGUGUGCUGCACUCCACGCGGUCCGAGUCAGACAGGACCUAGCGACUGAACGACGAGCCGGUGGGGGAGCUUAGGGCUGAAAGUUCCUUGGCUCACAGAGUGACAGUCUAGUGAACCGGGUAGAAAUCAAUAGGCAGCUUCUAUACAGGCUGGUCUGGCCUGCUGUAGGUGGGAGUGCAGAGAACAGGCUCCUAACCAAGACUUUCAGGUCAAGGAAGGCUUCCUGGAGGAGGUGCCAAACUAAGAGGAAGAGGAUAAAAAGUCAGGGGUGGGGGCAAGGAGAGGGAAGCCUUUCCCGCAGAAGUCAGAGCCCUGGGUACUUGGGAGGGAGGGGUCUCGGUAACUUUCCGCAUCCAGAACGAGAGGUGGGGGCAGGCGCGGUGUUUAGGUCUGGAUGCCGCCGGCAGGGAAUGUUGGGUUACGUCACUCAAGGUUUUGCGGCAACAGUGUGUCCGCGAGUGGAGCCGGGAUGGGGGAGCCUAGCGCAGCGGGUUCACAGGAGCUUCUCAAAGGGGCCCCGAGGUCGAACCGCCGGAGCUCUGGGGGCGCGGGCGGGUGGAGAGCCGCAGGAUGCGUUGUCAUGGAGAUGCCUGUGACGUCACACCGGUCGGGCCGCAAGACCUUCCUUCUCGACCCAGUGGAUGGUCACACUGGGAACAAAAUGGACAUGCCAUUCAGAAGAACUGGGUGACCUUGAUGGAUUCUGAGAGGAGCCUGGGAGCUCUGGAGAGGCCGACCUACACACACAAGUUACCAUGAGAUGUGGCUGCCUCUGAGACCGCUUCUCCCUUUGCAGCUUGCUCAACAUUGUCUUGAAGUGGAGUUGUAAGUUUUGAUCUGUUUUUUCAGACAGGAGAUUGCAAAAUGAAAGAAAAAAAAACUUAGAAUAAUUGUACCCAAAAGUGUCUGGUCAACAUAAUACCAAGUAUGGUAUGAAGGGGUUCAUCUUAAAAGUUAACGCUGGAGGGCUUCCCUGGUGGCCCAGCGGUAAAGAACGCGCCUGUCAGUGCAGGAGACGCAGGUUCAAUCCCUGCUCUGGGAAGAUUCCCACAUGCUGCUAAACACCUGAGCCCCUGAGCCACAACUACUGAGCCUUUGCUCUAGAGCCCGGAAGCUGCAACUACCGAAGCCCGGACACCCUAGAACCCGCUUCCCAGGAGAAGCCAGCUCAAUGCGAGGCCCGUGUACCGCAGCUAGAGAGCAGCCUCUGCUCGCUGCAGCUAGAGAGCAGCCUGAGCAGCAACGAAGACCCAGCACACCUGUAAAUAAUAAAUAAAUAUGUAUUUAAACAGUUAACACUAGAGGAAAAAAACAGAAACUUCCCUGUAGUUUGUGCAUGAAAAUACAGGUCUUACUGUCCCCUGCCUCUUCCCAAGAACCUGACCGGAUAUACUAGGCAGAACGUGAUUCUCUGGGGUGUGCAUUCUUCCUUUUUUUUUUUUUUCUUCCUUUCUUUUAUUUUAAGCCAGGGAUCAAACCCACACCUCCUGUAGUGGAAGNNNNNUCCGAACCACUGGACUGCCAGGGAAGUCCCAGAGGGUUCCAGGAGGUGCAGGGGGUAAUGUUCAGCCUUCUGGCCUCCCGUUAGCUUAUUACACUUCAGUAGUAUUUCCUGAGCACCUGCUCUGGUGCAGUGGAUGGGAGUUGAGCUUGUGAAGGUGUCCUUGGAAGAGGUAUACAACCAGGAUUGUUUCUUGUCAGUGUGUGUGUGUGUGUGUGUGUGUGUGUGCAGGAGUUUAUCUUUAGAAAUUUGACCUUCAAAGACUUCUUGCUCUCUCUCAGACCAGGAAAGGUGCUCAGCUAUUCGAAGCUUGACCCAGAUCUUGGUUUCACGUGGGCAGAGACAUAAAGACCCAGCACCCUGUGGAACGACAGACCAUUUCCGUGCUGCCUUAGAAACCGCUUUUAGGGGAAGAGGAGUUGGGAAAUCUUUCAGGGCAAAUUUUAUUGCAAGGAAAAGAUGCUUGCUUUGAACUGCUGGUUAGUUUUUCAAUAUUGUUAAGGGAGAGUUUUGAGUGUGUUUUUCCUUUAAAGCAGAAAUGCAAAACUGAGUAAAGCA
ensembl:lncRNA